UGACACGUAGCGAAAUGCGAUACCUAGUGUGAAUUGCAGAAUCCCGCGAACCAUCGAGUCUUUGAACGCAAGUUGCGCCCGAGGCCACUCGGCCGAGGGCACGCCUACCUG
rnacentral:rRNA from 1 species